CACCCUGUAUAUAUAGUGUUUUAAGUCAAUCGAUACGAUGUUGAUAUAUACAGAAGAGUUAGAGUUUCGAAGGUUGUGGGUUCGAAGCACCCACUCGAGUAAUCCCUCUUCCCAACAAAGAAACACAUGCACACUAUAUAUACUUCGAUUUAUCAAUUUACUUGCAUGGACAUUAACGUGCAUGCCACGUCACAAAUGUAGCUGAAUAACAAUGACCCAGCUGGGGAGUACGCUGAAAAACGUGUAUCUUUGGAAGUGGACCAGGGAAAAUCUUCCUGGUUAUUCUGUAGCAGAGUCGACUAGUUAGAAUGAUCUUUUUCGAAUUGCCAAAAUAAAUCCGCAAUAAUGCAUCAAGUUACGUUAUCUUGCACGAUCUUAUAAAACUUCCAGAACUUGGC